rnacentral:rRNA from 1 species
UACGUAGGGUGCAAGCGUUGUCCGGAAUUUAUUGGGGCGUAAAGAGCUCGUAGGCGGUCUGUCGCGUCGGAUGUGAAAACCCAGGGCUUAACCCUGGGCCUGCAUUCGAUACGGGCAGACGUAGAGUUCGGUAGGGGAGACUGGAAUUCCUGGUGUAGCGGUGAAAUGACGCAGAUAUCAGGAGGAACACCGGUGGCGAAGGCGGGUCUCUAGGCCGACACUGACGUGGAGGAGCGAAAGCGUGGGGAGCGAACAGG